rnacentral:rRNA from 1 species
UACGUAGGGUGCGAGCGUUGUCCGGGAUUAUUGGGCGUAAAGAGCUCGUAGGCGGUCUGUCGCGUCGGUCGUGAAAACUUGGGGCUUAACCCUGAGCUUGCGGUCGAUACGGGCAUGACUGGAGUUCGGCAGGGGAGACUGGAAUUCCUGGUGUAGCGGUGAAAUGCGCAGAUAUCAGGAGGAACACCGGUGGCGAAGGCGGGUCUCUGGGCCGAUACUGACGCUGAGGAGCGAAAGCGUGGGGAGCGAACAGG